CCAUGCACUCUUUAACCCCUAAUUAGUUCACAACUGUGUCUCCUUGCUGAUUGUAACAUGAUCCACCAACAAGACUCUCUGUGUUUCAGUGUUUUCUCCAACAUUAACUCUUAAUCUAUUUAAACAUCUGUCCAAAAUUUUGUAGGCUCAGUGACAAGUUUGAGAGUGUUUCAAGCCCAUCUUUUUCCAGCUCUUGGAUGCAUGACUCU